GUCAGGAACCCUGUCCCGUUCACGGGACGGGCUUGGGUAGAUGGGUUGAUUUCUGACCGUCUUCUACGCCAGCUCACCUGACCAGUCCCAGCCAUGGCAUAUCGCCUGGAUACAAUCAGGCGAGCCAUCGGGCUACGAUAUCAGGAAGUGCCAAAGUUCCUACCUGCGGAUGUGAGGCCAGUCCGCUGCUCUAGA
rnacentral:sRNA from 25 species